rnacentral:rRNA from 1 species
UUGGAGGGCAAGUCUGGUGCCAGCAGCCGAGGUAAUUCCAGCUCCAAUAGCGUAUAUUAAAGUUGUUGCAGUUAAAAAGCUCGUAGUUGAAUUUCGGGAUCAAUAUAUCGGUCGUGCCUUGGUACGUACUGGUAUCAUUGGUUUCUCCUUUCUGACGAACCAUGAUGUCAUUAAUUUGGUGUUAUGGGAAGUUAGGACUGUUACUUUGAAAAAAUUAGAGUGUUUAAAGCAGGCUUUAGCUUGAAUACAUUAGCAUGGAAUAAUGAAAUAGGACGUUCGAACCUAUUUUGUUGGUUUCUAGGAUCAACGUAAUGAUUAAUAGGGAUAGUUGGGGGCAUUAGUAUUCAAUUGUCAGAGGUGAAAUUCUUGGAUUUAUUGAAGACUAACUACUGCGAAAGCAUUUGCCAAGGAUGUUUUCAUUAAUCAAGAACGAAAGUUAGGGGAUCGAAGACGAUCAGAUACCGUCGUAGUCUUAACCAUAAACUAUGCCGACUAGGGAUCGGAUGAUGUUAAUUUUUUAAUGACUCAUUCCGGCGCCUUACGGGAAAC